UUCAACAAACUUCACUUUUGGCCUUUAAAAAAAAAAGGUUAAAUCUUCCUAGAAAACAAGUUACAGUGCUUUGUUAAGAAGGAAAAAACCACAGAGACUAUGAACGAACCAAGUAACAUGCUGACAACUGUUGGAAGACACUUUCCCUAAAUGACUAGUUAUUUGUUUUCUUCUACCCCUCUUUCUUUUUCUUCAUCUCGGGGCAAAUCAUCUCAUGCUUUCUCCAAUAAAGAAACUUUCUGCUUGAUGAAUAUAAUAUCCAUACUCCUAUGAUUAACACUGCCCCAAAUAUGCCAUGGAGUGAUCCCUGAACCCCACUGCUAAAGCUUAGUGACCAAACAGGGACGGGCCAAGGAAAGACAAAUACAAACACCUGGGCUACUGUGAUGGCUGAAAUUUCCUAUUUUCUGGCUGAACAGAUUUAAAUUAUCAACCUGGAACCCGGAAAACAUCGUAGUUGUGAAAACAGAAUUUCCAAUGAGCAGCUUCCUAUGUGCGAUCACUUCAAACUUUGCCGAUGAUUGGAUACUUUCUAACAAAAAAUAAAAGCGUAAGGAGUCUGCAGAAGAGGACCUUACUUCAGAAGUUAAAACAUCUCUAGUUCUAUCUUCCAGUGGUUAACUCAGAGUGACUGCCAGACAGGUUUGGCACAGAAGCUUGGGUGAUGUGACAACCUAUAUACAUAACAUUUUGUCAAACUGAAGGAAAGCUUAGCAAAUACAAUGCAGCAGCAUCCUUUAAUAAUCUGCCAGUAGACAGUCGGGAUCUCUGUGGACAUCUGACAAGGAAUAUGCUUUCUGCCAGGGCAGAACAAUGUCACCACUGUUUUUCAAAAAUGCUUCAAAGUCAUUAGGGCAAAUUACUCAGAAAGCAAAUAUUUGCAUGUUUGACCACACUUAGAGCAGGAUACUCGAAUUUGAUACAUGACUUAGAAAGUGAAAUUCAAAGCCUCCAUGACGUGACAUAUUUGCAAUAUCUUCUUAAAUUCCCAGGCACUUUUACUGUUAUUAUUUCAUCUGUAUUGCUGUGUUUCAAAUCCAUCAUAAGAGAAAAGCGAUUAAGGACUGAGAACAAAGGCUAGCUUCUCAGCUUUAAUCUUCUGAAAGUUACUGCUGAAGUCCCUAUGACAGCAAAUCUAAAAAUCAUUCGCUGCAGUUUUAAGUUUCACCUUUUAAAUAGGAAGUCAUGAUUACAGAACCAUCAGGAAACUAACACCUUGGAGAAGAAAUAACUGUCUCAGUUCCAACAUUUAACCUAAAGGGUUAGAUCAUAAUUCCUGAAGUGAAGUUUUGAAAAGAUCUCUUAGCUAGGACUUACUAAUCCCAGGUUUUGAUUCCACUAUGAAUUUGUCUGUGUGGACUUUCAUAACCUUGAUCAAAUCUGAGCUUCUGUUUUCUUGUUUUUGAAAAAAGAAAAUCAGAUUCGACGGUUGUUGGAUCCCUUUCAGCUCUGAAGUUUUUCACUUCUAUGACACAGAAUGUGUAACAUUUGAACACACACCUAACACAAGGCCACAGUUGAAGGUGGUCACCUAUUUAGUCCAUUUGCAUGAGGAAAAAAAGGAUAGGAAUCACAUGGUUUAUCAUUCUCCGGGCUGGCUUUGCUCAGUAGCGUUUCCCUGGCAGACUCACGAGGAGGAUGAAAAUACCUCUGUGGCAUAUGACAGACUCUUUGUUGAUAUCCAGGAGCUCUUUUUCAAGGCGCUGAAUCUGUUGGUAGCCAUCUGAGCAUGAGGAGGAAUGAAAAGAACAAAAAUGCCAGUGGCCACAAGAGCAUCAGUAGCCACGAACCAGAAGAUGGUUCAUGAGGUAAGAGUAAGACUGUUGUUGAUCACAUCAUGGAUAUUUCAGAAUAUCCAUCAAUGUGACUAUAAACAUAUGGGGAGUAAUCAUUGCUAAUGUCAGGGAAAUAUAAUUAUUGUUCUCUAGAGAUCCAGAAGGAUUACUGUUAUCAUAAAUGUCUACACACACACACACACACACACACACACACACACACACACACACCAAGCUCUAUGGUUUGGCCAUCAUUCGCCUCUAAGCUAUUACAUGUAGUGAAAAGCUCUUUUCGUUCCACUCUUUCCACCUGUAGGGCUUCUCUGCAUUCUUUCAUUAUUGGUUGCCCUUUUCCAGUGAUGGAUCCAUCACUAGGUCCCUGCCUGACCGUGAUAUCUAAUACUCCUCACAGCUGUCACCUCUGUGUGGCCAUCACUUUACUGACAUUGCCUUUAAUCUAUGACACUCAACGCUGCUCCUCUCUCCACAGUUUUUCUUUAUUUUUCAUAGGUAUCUUUACUUCUAACAUGUCUUACCUUCAGAGCAAAUGCUAACCUUUUAGAGACAAUAGCCACCAAUAAUAUGGCAUCUCAUAGAUGCAAAAAUGCCCCACAGUUAUCAGCCUAUAAUAAAUACUCAUAGAAAGAUGUGCAUUUUCUACUUACGUUCAUGACCAACAACCCAUUCAAAUACCUAGGUGGAGUUCUCCAUUCUUUGCCACUAUGAAACAUCAGUAAUUCAGAUAAAUGCUAACUGUAGUAACUGUGCAUCCUGAAGAAAUGGGCACCAUAAAACUUCGGUCAUGCCACUUCUAAUGUCUAAAAUUAGAAUUUCCAAUUUUUAAGUUUCUAUGGUUAUAAAAUUAAUCUGACUUCAUAUUUUGAUAACUCAAACUAUAUGGCAAAGUUCUAAUCUGAUUUUGUCAAGUUUUACUAAAUACAAAGUUCAUGUUAUAUUUAGUAGACCAAGAAGUAUGUCAUGACAGUUUAAUUUUGUCCUAAAUUCUUCCUAAAAAAAGAAUUAUCAAUAAAAGAGACUGUGGCUUUCAUUAACCACUGACAUUUUAAAAUGUCAAUUUUACUGAAAUAUGCCCUUUCUAUUUUAAUAACAUUCGAUUUUAGCUGAUCUGGAGAUCAAGUGUUAAAAACCAUCUCUGAUAAGGUAGAAGGUAGUUUUUUUUUUUCCUUGCUCUGGAACAA